rnacentral:tRNA from 1 species
GCCUGGGUGGCUCAGUCGGUUGAGCAUCUAACUUUGGCUCAGGUCACGAUUUCAAGGUUCGUGGGUUCGAGCCCUGCAUUGGGCU